rnacentral:rRNA from 1 species
AUUGAACGCUGGCGGCAUGCCUUACACAUGCAAGUCGAACGGCAGCACGGGGCAACCUGGUGGCGAGUGGCGAACGGGUGAGUAAUGCAUCGGAACGUGCCAUUGAGUGGGGGAUAACGUAGCGAAAGUUGCGCUAAUACCGCAUAUUCUGUGAGCAGGAAAGCAGGGGACCGCAAAGGCCUUGCGCUCUUUGAGCGGCCGAUGUCAGAUUAGCUAGUUGGUGAGGUAACGGCUUACCAAGGCGACGAUCUGUAGCGGGUCUGAGAGGAUGAUCCGCCACACUGGAACUGAGACACGGUCCAGACUCCUACGGAGGCAGCAGUGGGAAUUUUGGACAAUGGGCGCAAGCCUGAUCCAGCCAUGCCGCGUGAGUGAAGAAGGCCU